CUUUCCUUUCUUGUUAAUUUUUUGCUUCUUGUAUACAAAUGUAUAUUAAAGCCCCUAUAAAUUCGUUUAAAUUAUUUAUUUUAAAUAUAUUUCGGGUCCAUUAUAAAAUGUUUGGAUGACUUAGUAAUACAUGGCCGAUUACUCUGAGAUUGGACCCUUCAUUUAGCUUUGUAAUAGUGACAGAAAGCUCUUCUCCUGUCCUCAAUAGAUGACUUCCAGCGGAGUAGGCGACGUCAACAUACCCAGCUGGGCAUCCUCAGACAAAUUUAUAGCAGUUUAACAGAACAGCAAGUUACAGUGUCCAAGAAAUACCAACGAUUUGCAAAAUAGAAUAAACACCGCAAAAUGUUAUACUUAUUUAAAAAAAUUUGGUCGGUUGUCCGAGUGACCUCGACAACUCAGUCAAAAACAAGAAUGAACGCUAUAGUCGACGGCCUCGAAUAUUACAUACCCGUUACUCAACUAAAGGAAGUGGAAGGGAGAAGGAGAUAUGCAGCAUUUCGGCUGUUUCCGAGAUUAAACACUUUGUUUGCCAAAACCCAUCUUUCUAGCUUUUAUAGUUCCCGAGAUCUCGGCGCUCAUACGAACGGUCAGGCAGAACCUAUAAAAAAUUGAAGUUUUCUUAUUUAAUUAGAUAUAACCGGAUAUACAUACAUAAAUAUACACAGAGUUAUACAAGUUGGUUGUUUUGUUCGAUUCAUUCAAUUGUGUAGCUUAAGCCUAUAGAAUAAUUCAUUACUUUAUUUUGGAAUAUAUUUAUUAUGCAUAGAUAAGUCUUUUCCAUCAUAGGUAAUGCCCUCGUAGAAGAACUUUCGAUUUGAGCGGCAUUGAGGACCACAUCUGGUAGAGCCACAACUACGGCACUCAUACCAACAACCUUCACAUUCUUUAUUUAAGCAGUCGCCUGAAAAUAAACAUAUUUUAUUUUAAA